rnacentral:rRNA from 1 species
AUACGGAAGGUCCGGGCGUUAUCCGGAUUUAUUGGGUUUAAAGGGAGCGCAGGCGGAGAUGCAAGCGUGACGUCAAAUUUCGGGGCUCAACCCCGUCUCGCGUCGCGAACUGCGUCCCUUGGUUGCGGGAAGGGGAGGCGGAACUCGUGGUGUAGCGGUGAAAUGCAUAGAUAUCACGAAGAACUCCGAUCGCGAAGGCAGCCUUCCGGCCCGUCAACGACGCUCAUGCUCGAAGGUGCGGGUAUCAAACAGGAUUAGAUACCCUGGUAGUCCGCACAGUAAACGAUGGACACCCGCGGUUUGGCCUGUAUGGCUGAGCCGCCAAGCGAAAGCGUUAAGUGUCCCACCUGGGGAGUACGCCGGCAACGGUGAAACUCAAAGGAAUUGGCGGG